AAUGAACGCUGGCGGCAUGCCUAACACAUGCAAGUCGAACGAGACCUUCGGGUCUAGUGGCGCACGGGUGCGUAACGCGUGGGAAUCUGCCCUUGGGUUCGGAAUAACAGUGAGAAAUUACUGCUAAUACCGAAUGAUGACGUAAGUCCAAAGAUUUAUCGCCCAGGGAUGAGCCCGCGUAGGAUUAGCUAGUUGGUGAGGUAAAAGCUCACCAAGGCGACGAUCCUAGCUGGUCUGAGAGGAUGAUCAGCCACACUGGGACUGAGACACGGCCCAGACUCCUACGGGAGGCAGCAGUGGGGAAUAUUGGACAAUGGGCGAAAGCCUGAUCCAGCAAUGCCGCGUGAGUGAUGAAGGCCUUAGGGUUGUAAAGCUCUUUUACCCGGGAUGAUAAUGACAGUACCGGGAGAAUAAGCUCCGGCUAACUCCGUGCC
rnacentral:rRNA from 1 species